rnacentral:rRNA from 1 species
UACGGGGGGGGCAAGCGUUGUUCGGAAUUACUGGGCGUAAAGGGCUCGUAGGCGGCCAACUAAGUCGGAUGUGAAAUCCCCAGGCUCAACCUGGGAACUGCAUCCGAUACUGGAUGGCUUGAAUUCGGGAGAGGGAUGCAGAAUUCCAGGUGUAGCGGUGAAAUGCGUAGAUAUCGGGAGGAACACCAGUAGCGAAGGCGGCACUCUGGGCCGGUACUGACGCUGAGGAGCGAAAGCGUGGGGAGCAAACAGG